AGGAGAUCUUCAUCAGAUAAAGAGGAAAGGGUGAGCGCAGACCGGGCACCACAGAAGACUCCAGCACAGACGUGAAUGAUUUUACCUGAUGGAUUUAAUGGAAUGAUGAACAGCACUUGUCCGGAUUAGGUAAUGGUACAUGUUAAAGAGUAUGUACUACUGUGUAGUGUGUGUGUGAGAGAGAAUGAAUGAGCACGUGGCUAUUAUUCCUCUAACUGUAUUGAGGAGUGGCAUUUAGCUUCAAUUGCUUUGUUUUUUUUGUAUCAUUUCUGUUCCUGUAGAGCUGAAAC